UUAAAACAGAUAACUGCUCAUGAAAAAGAGAAGGCUAAGCACACAGCUGCAAAGUCAAUGUUUUAGAAACUAGAGCAGCAGCCUUAUAGAUUUAGUAGCGUCUGGCUAUACAUUUUUAUUUGUCAGCCCAAAGGCGCAGAAAUGUUCAUUCUUAAGCAGCAUACUUUAUCACAGUGCCCUAAUCCAGACUGAUAACCACAGAAUAAAUUACGGCAGCCUCCACUCCAGAUUUUGAUACAAUGCAUGCUCCUAUAAACAAGAUGGCAAUGUACAAGAUAAGGCCGGCCUUUUUGCGCAAUCUACACAUCUGCUUUCAAUUCCCCGACCUUUUCAAAACCCAAACCAAACAUAGUUUAUUUAUGAAGGACUGGCUUGCCUGUUUUCUUUAAAAGAACCCAUUAAAACGAUGUCAUUUUUUGGGACUAAUGGAGGGUCUAAAUCGCAGCAUCACUCCAGCAAAGUUCAAAAAUAAGAAACAAAAAAUAAAAACAAAAAUAUAGGCUCGUAUUUUUCAAAAGCAUCAUAUGGGCGCAAAUGUAAGUAAACAUAAACUUCUGUCGUGUUGCCGUCUUCGGAUUUCGUAAAAAGGUCACCAUGUGGCCACCACUAGCAAAAUCACAAAAUGUAUUACGGUUGUUAGAGCCCAUAAUUUUCAUCUAGCAAUUGAUAGCAUUCACCUCUGAAAUACAAUUUCUGGACAACUGAGCUCCAUCCAGCGACCCAAAUUAGGUGAAUUUUAUUAAUAACCCGUUACAUUUCCAUCCCACCUUUAAGGACACAUCCAUCACAUUCCUUCUUUGUUUUUUAUCCCACCAUUAACAAUUGUGAAAUUGACCUUAAAAGUAGGACAGGUCCAAAGUCACUCAGUGAGCUUCACCGCGAGGGAUGCUGAGUCUUUUAAAAAAAAAUUAAAAGUAGUGGUUAAAGGAUUGGGAAUGUUACAAGUUACAACUCCAAUGAAUCAUGAAUGUUUUUUUUCCCAAUUUUAAGAUGUGUGAACUUCUUGAAAGUUUAAAAAUACACUGAUCUAGAUUUGAAAAAGAACCAAUUUGAGAAAGAGCACUUGGUUUUAGUUUUAAACUGCCUGACAACUAGGAAAGAGUGAAAGAGAAACAGUGGAAGAGUUAAGGGUAGAGCUUGUGUACAUAAAGAGAUUUCUCACAUUCUAUAUGUUUCUCUCCUGUCAUUUUAAUUCUCAAAAGUGUCUCUGAAGAGCUUUUUCAAAAGCUGGGAAACCAUCCAGCUCAGAUUCUAAAGCUACCAAAACUUG